UGACGUGUAACACACACAGUGACUCUGAUGAAUGAGAAGCACUGUCAGGAUUCCUGAAGCGGCCAGGACCUUAACGAGCUCGACACAGCCCAACGCGGUAACGGUUAUGGCACUGUGAGGUUCUUCCAAGCUUGGUUGGCUGAAUGAAUGAAACACGUCUGCAGCUGUCUGACAGGAGAGAAAGAUACGUACACUACCGAGCAGGCAUAGCAGCCCUGUUUACUGCUUUCCCGGACCAGGAAGGUGCCAUCUCGCUUCCCCCGGAGCAGGUUUUCAGCCUUGUUUCUGUUGCUGCUGCCGACAUUCCAUGUCUUCUCGUCGUGGUGCGGCAAAUCCUCAUCAUCCUCCACCAGCGAGUAUUGGCUAAGGAGGCAGGAGACAAAGGUUGGACAUGAAGCCCUGGGAGAGGUCACCUCUCCCACCGAGCCUGUCAGGCCAGCCACUGCGGCUCCGACUCAGGCGGCACUUGGCUGUGGAGCUCAGCCUUCCAUGUGACCUCCCUGGACAAAGAGCCCCAGUAGUAAGAGUCUUCCUCUUUGUAAGUCAGGAGCUGCAUGUAGGCAGCUGGGCAGAGGGGAAGGUAUCAAACGAUCCUGUUUGUCCAGUUCAGAUCAGGAAACCGACGGACUAGGAGGACUGCCAGUUUCUCAUGUAAUUCAAACAAAACCCAGCCUUAAGCUUUAGAGGUACACUGAACAGAAUUGUGUCCUUUUUUUCCUCCCGACUGUUCCAGAAACCCACUGGGGAUUUUUACAGGUUUGGGGCCUUCCUUCUAGACAGAGUCACUCAAUUGCACUGUGGGUAAAAACUAACUCUGCAUCCUUCACUAAACUUUCCUUUUUUGUAACAUUCUGGAUAAUGCGAUGUGGUUUACAGAAGAUGUUCCAAACUCCGUGAAAUUCCUCCCUUGGUCUGCAAACAAAGUCACGAGUUCUCUUACCAUGAAGACCCCCCCGCCCCCGCCAGCCCCCGGGCAGCCUCCCACCUACGGUGAGCACUCACUCUUCAGUGUUCUCAUUGCCCAGCCACUCGUUCAGCUUCUUCUGCCGAACACCUUUCUGAGUCAACCACCUGGAAGACAGUUAGAAAAGGAAAAUGCAUUAAUCAUGGAUCCUUGGUUUUGGCAACGGCCGGUCAUUUGCUCCCAGGGUUCUGCCUCGAGGACUUACAUCAAGUAUUGGUCUCUUGUCUUUCUCAGCUGAAUGAGGUCUGGUUUAAUGCUGUUCAUGCGCUUGUCAAUCUCCCGAUACUCAGCUGCCUGUUUCUUCAAGUCCUCCUCCAGUCGUCUUCUACUGUCCACAAUUUCGCUGAUGCGAGACUUCAACUUUUCAUAAUUAUGCAUAAUCCUAUAGGCAAGAGUAAGGCAUCGGUCAUGACCUGCUUCACCACAAUGGUUUCCCACAGCUUAUACAAAGUCAGAAAGAAUGCUUUCUCGUGCUGCCAUUUUUAAAAAUUAUUCAAAGGGCAGAAAGCAAGAUCAUCUUUCAACAGUUCUGGAGGAUUUGCAUUAUUAUCUUGAGCACAGGGACGACCCUCAUGGUUCACCAACCUUUGUAUUUCUUUCUCAUUGCCUUCCCGUUUAAAUUUUUCUAUGUAUUCUUUGCUGUACCGUUCUUGGCUUUGGCACUGCUCUUCAAAUAUUUUUAUGGUUUCAUUAAAUGCUUCAAUAGCUGUUCUUUUCAUCUGGAUUUCCUACAACACAAUGUUUAAUAAGACAAUGUCAUACCUUUCACAGAACGGAUAAUUUGUUACUGUGAGACACUGCCGGGACAUUUGAUGGUAUUCCUGUCUAGCAUGGAAGGGACUGUGUUAGCAAGGAAGGCCUCUAAUUCACAAAACCCAUUAAAAUAGUAUCACAGAAGCACACAUUUCCUUUGGGAAUUUUCCCAGUCUAUGAAAGCAGACUGCCUAACAAUUUCCUAUAGUUUUCAUUUUAAAAGCCAUUCCCCUUUAUCAGCAAUUUAAGGAAUCCAUGUUGCCUUCUACUCCCUCUGGUGGUUCUAGAUACAUCAUAGCCUAGAGAAGAUUACCUCUCCAGGAAAACAUUGUCAUAAAUGGAGCUUCUAUACUUUUUUUAUUUUUUUUUUUUAUUACAGGGCAUCAAAAAGUUAAAUCUUCAUUUUGGAGGUCAGACAAGUUUGUGGAACUUUUUGAGUUGUUACGUCGAAUCCACUUGAAACUCCCAGCGACCUCUGCAAUUAUCAUCACGAGAACUCAUUCUGACACUUACGAGCUUCAUUUAAAAGCUUCAAUAUUAUCUUCUUUGACAACUUGAUCCUGGAAGAAUGAGAGAUGGGAAGAAGACUUCAGUUCAUUGGCUAUGCAGUCCAGUAACUGGCCACUCUCAAACUGUAAUUUUGUGACCACAGGUAUAAAGUUUUUGAAAUUUUAUUACAUGCAAUUCACCUGCUUCACAAUGUUUUCUAAGGAUUUGAAAGUGUCUUGUCUAAACAUUGUAACGUGAGCAUUUCAGUUUUGAAUACCUGUUGGUAUUUGGAUACUGGAUAAAGUAAUUUCACGUCCAGUUUGGGAUUAUACUGAGCUAGGGACUCAUUCCGGUAGUGGUUUAUUAGUUCAACCACAGAGUUGAAGGUUAGUGGGUCAGAGAAGCCAUAUUUCCCAUCUCGGUGAAAUAUUUUGAUUAACUUGUUAUUUCCUCCUUUCCUGUAAACACAAUAAAAUAAAGGGCAUUAUUACAAUCUUCUUUA